rnacentral:rRNA from 1 species
ACUCAAAGGAAUAGACGGGGACCCGCACAAGCAGUGGAGGAUGGGGUUUAAUAUGACGCUAAGCGUAGAACCUUACCGAGGCUUGACAUCCUGGGAAGUCGAUCGAAAGAUUGAUGUGCCUUCGGGAGCCCAGUGACAGGUGCUGCAUGGCCGUCGUCAGCUCGUGUCGUGAGAUGUUGGGUUAAGUCCCGCAACGAGCGCAACCCUUGUCGUCUGUUGUAUUUUCAGGCGAGACUGCCCGGGCCAACCGGGAGGAAGGUGAGGACGACGUCUGGUCGGCAUGGCCCUUACGCCUCGGGCUACACCCGUCCUACAAUGGCUGGUACAACGCGUUGCUAAGUCGCAAGAUGGAGCUAAUCGCAUCAAAGCCAGUCCCAGUUCGGAUUGGGGGCUGAAACUCGCCCCCAUGAAGUCGGAAUUGCUAGUAAUGGCAGGUCAGCUAUACUGCCGUGAAUACGUUCCCGGGUCUUGCACACACCGCCCGU